rnacentral:rRNA from 1 species
CCUACGGGUGGCUGCAGUGGGGAAUAUUGGGCAAUGGGCGCAAGCCUGACCCAGCAACGCCGCGUGAAGGAAGAAGGCUUUCGGGUUGUAAACUUCUUUUCUGGGGGACGAACAAAUGACGGUACCCCAGGAAUAAGCCACGGCUAACUACGUGCCAGCAGCCGCGGUAAUACGUAGGUGGCAAGCGUUUUCCGGAUUUAUUGGGGGUAAAGGGCGUGUAGGCGGGAAUGCAAGUCAGUUGUGAAAACUCAGGGCUCAACCCUGGGCCUGCAUUUGAAACUGUGUUUCUUGAGUGCUGGAGGGGCAAUCGGAAUUCCGUGUGUAGCGGUGAAAUGCGUAGAUAUACGGAGGAACACCAGUGGCGAAGGCGAAUUGCUGGACAGUAACUGACGCUGAGGCGCGAAAGCGUGGGGAGCAGACAGGAUUAGAUACCCUGGUAGUC